GGGCCCGCACAAGCGGUGGAGCAUGUGGUUCAAUUCGACGCAACGCGAAGAACCUUACCCAGGCUUGAACAGCGAGUGACCAUUCUCGAAAGAGGACUUCCGCAAGGACACUCGUAGAGGUGCUGCAUGGCUGUCGUCAGCUCGUGUCGUGAGAUGUUGGGUUAAGUCCCGCAACGAGCGCAACCCUUGUUUGCUGUUGCCAUCACGUUAUGGUGGGCACUCUGCAAAGACUGCCGGUGAUAAACCGGAGGAAGGUGGGGAUGACGUCAAGUCAGCAUGGCCUUUAUGUCUGGGGCUACACACGUGCUACAAUGGCCGAUACAAACCGUCGCAAAACCGCAAGGUGGAGCUAAUCGGAGAAAGUCGGUCUCAGUUCGGAUAGCAGGCUGCAACUCGCCUGCUUGAAGUUGGAAUCGCUAGUAAUCGCGGAUCAGCACGCCGCGGUGAAUACGUUCCCGGGCCUU
rnacentral:rRNA from 1 species